UUCAGCCCUAGGAAGGUCAAAAGCAGAAUGGCCUUGUGUCGAUGACUUUUUCUGUAUGUACAGCUCUGGAUGGAAAACAAAUCAGGCAUCUGGCUCUCAGCCUUGAAGAGCUACGGUCUUUGGAGAAUAGAUGUGUAGUCACACUUUGUUUUCCUUUUUAAAGCAAAAGAACAGAACAAACUCUCUGGGGGGAGAAUGCGCUGGCAGAGACUAGAAGAGAGAAACCAAAUAACGUUUGAAACAAUCUGGGGGUUAAGGGAUUGUCUCAACCAUUCAGAUCAAAGAAGGCUCUUCAGGGUAAGUUGGAGUUGUCUGCCUUUGAAAAUGGAAGGGGCUAAGGUGUGAAAGAUUUCUCCAAACUUGGACAACAGUAGGAGCCCAGAACGCCGUCUGUAGGGGCAGCAAGAAUGCCAGUGGGUAAGUCUUGUAGGCAAACUGGGAAGCACAGGCUUGCUCGAGAGCGGUCUGCUGCUCCCCAGCACCAGCUGCUUGUCAUGUGGAGAAGUAGGCCAUUGAUUGCCUGAAUAGCUGAGCCUUUAAGAGAAAUUAAACAGAAACUUGUCAUUAAAGCUCUUGGUUUUUAAAUGAUGGAACCUAGUCAACUUCUAAAGAGGCACUGAGUAGCCAAAGCCAAGCAUAUCGUAUGUGGGCAAUGUGCUUUCCAUGUCUCUUCCACCUGCAGAGGGGAUGCCUGGACGUGAGGCAGAGAGUUGACAUUCAGUAGGAACUGCCUUUUCUUUUUAUAACUGAGACUCCUAACUCCAGUAUCAUUUCUCAUGGUUUCAUGUGUUUGGGCUCAUUUGGAGCCAACGCUGACAAUGGAAGAUGGCUGAGCAAACAAAGGUAUUGUUGUAAACGUCAAACACAAUCCAAGCCAAAGGACGAGAACAAGCCCUAGCAUGGGCUUUACGCAUUAUAAAAAACAUGAUUAAGUCCUGGCGGUUAUACUCCUGGCUGGUUCUUAUUUCAGCUUUGGUUCCUCUUGCUCAUUCCUCAUAAAAAUUAUUAGUGUGGAUUGUGUA